rnacentral:lncRNA from 1 species
AAAACAUUACAUAGUUCUUGAUAUAUCAUAUUUCACACUUUGAUUCAAGUGGGUUAUGAACUCCCAUUUUUACCCCGUAUACAAAUUGCAGAAUCACAUCAGUUACACAUCCAUUGAUUUACAUAUUGCCAUACUAGUGUCUGUUGUAUUCUGCUGCCUUUCCUGUUCUCUACUGUCCCCCCUCCCCUCCCCUCCCCUCCCCUCUUCUAAUUUUGGCUGAUUUAUGUCAUUGUAUUUCCAUAUUCAUUUUUGAAUUGACUCAUCUAUUUUUAUAAAAAUCUUUUGGAAUUUUGAUUUUGAUUGCAUUGAAUCUACAGAUAAACUUCAGGAGAACUACAUCUUGAAAAUAAUGAUUCAUCUGAUUUCUAAGCAAAGUACAUUAUUUAGGCAUUCUUUAAUCUAAGUAAAAUUUUAAAGUUUUCUCUGUAAAGAUAUUUUACCUAUUUUGUUAGAUUAUCAUUAUGUAUUUUAUAAUUUUGAAGUUAAAGUAGAUGACAUUAUCAUUUGUAAUUUUUCUAUACAAAUAUGAGUUGCUAGUAUAUAGAAACACAAGGGAUUUUUUUUUGGUACUAACUCUAUCCCAAAAUACUGAAAAAUUCAGUUCAUUCUCCAAAUAAUAUUACACAUAU